AAAAAAGCAGGGCCGCAUUGCCUUUUGUGGAUGUAGCUCUCGUAUACUUCAGGGAAAUAGAUUUCAUCGUUAUUGGGUGAACCUCUGUACUAAAUGGUGACUGAAGGUUCAGUAAAUGAUGGCACACUC
rfam:Punica granatum cultivar Dabenzi scaffold665, whole genome shotgun sequence.